rnacentral:pre_miRNA from 1 species
UCUUAUGAAUGAGCCAAGAAAGUGGUUUCUUGAAAUAAAAUAUACUCUUGGUGAAGAUGCUGUGAA